rnacentral:rRNA from 1 species
UACGGAGGGGGCUAGCGUUGUUCGGAAUUACUGGGCGUAAAGCGCACGUAGGCGGCUUUGCAAGUUAGAGGUGAAAGCCCGGGGCUCAACUCCGGAAUUGCCUUUAAAACUGCAUCGCUAGAAUUGUGGAGAGGUAAGUGGAAUUCCGAGUGUAGAGGUGAAAUUCGUAGAUAUUCGCAAGAACACCAGUGGCGAAGGCGGCUCACUGGUCCGGUACUGACGCUGAGGUGCGAAAGCGUGGGGAGCAAACAGG